rnacentral:rRNA from 1 species
UGGGGAAUAUUGCACAAUGGGGGAAACCCGUGAUGCAGCAACGCCGCGUGAAGGAAGACGGUUUUCGGAUUGUAAACUUCUAUCAAUAGGGACGAAGGAAAUGACGGUACCUAAAUAAGAAGCCCCGGCUAACUACGUGCC